UGAAUUCAGUCUGUGCAGAGUUGUGCUGG
rnacentral:piRNA from 1 species